AAAUUGAAGAGUUUGAUCAUGGCUCAGAUUGAACGCUGGCGGCAGGCCUAACACAUGCAAGUCGGACGGUAACAGGAAGCAGCUUGCUGCUUCGCUGACGAGUGGCGGACGGGUGAGUAAUGUCUGGGAAACUGCCUGAUGGAGGGGGAUAACUACUGGAAACGGUAGCUAAUACCGCAUAACGUCGCAAGACCAAAGAGGGGGACCUUCGGGCCUCUUGCCAUCGGAUGUGCC
rnacentral:rRNA from 1 species